GGCUGUUAGCUGAAUGGUCAUAGGCUGACACUCUAAAUUCAAUUCCCGGGAAACUGGCUGUUGAAAUGGUCGGGGGUUCGAUUCCCCUAGAGGUCA